CUCCUCCCCUCGGCCGCGCCCCGCGACGCCUCUGAGCUCCGGGCCCGCUAAGGAGAGGGCUCCUCCUGCCCGCGGUUUGCAGAGGGAAGCGGCGGAGACCGGGAGGGCGCGCUCGGUUCUGGCCAGGCCAGCAGCUGCGGCCGAGUGGGGGGCUCCGGCCUGGCCGCUUCCUGGGACCCCCUCCCGCCCGGGGCCGCCGCCGCCAGCUGCAGCCUCUCGGCUCCUCCCCAGAGGAGCGCGGGGCCGGGGCCCAGGCCAAGUCCCUCCCCGGAGCCGCGGGGCGUCUGCGCCGCCGGAUGAGCUCCCCGCCGGGCGGCGACCCCGUGCCCCACGCCCGUCUCGGCAAGGAGGAGGCGGAGGCGGCCCCGCGAGAGAGGCCCAAGGAGCGACUGGGCCUGGACCCAGGGGACGCCAGGGCAGCGGAGCUCCCGGCACCGGUCCCGUCCCCCCCCCCCCGCCCACCCGCGGGACGCGCCCGCCUUAACCCUCCAGGCGCCGGGCCCGCUGGGGGCGCUGAGAGGGGCUGGUGUGCCGGGGGCGCCUUCCUGCUUGGGGCCGACGGGGGUGUGUGAGUGCAGGCGUGUGCGUGUGUGUGCGCAUGUGUGUGUGUGGAUGUGCGUGUGCGUGUGUAUGCCUGUGUGUGUUUGUGUGUGCGUCUGUGUGCAUGUGUGUGUGCACAUGCAUGUGUGUUCACGUGAGUGCAUCUCAUCUGUCACCCACAACCAGGGGAGCGGUGCUUGUACAACCAGCUGGUGGCUUCUGCAACCAGCAGCUUCUGGCCGUGCAGCUCCCUGUAGGGAAUAUGAGUUAAUCUGGAUGUCAGCCUAAGAUGUAGUCAGGGAGGGCCCUCUCCGCCCUCUCUGAGCCUCAGUUUCCUCUGAUGUGAAUUAAGGGCGUUGAGCCCAUUGUUCCUGAGGAAUCACUCAUCUCUGAGCCUGGCCCAUUGCCUGGCAUUCCGUGGGCACCCACUAGAUACUUAUAAGGGGAGAAGUUGUUCCAGUCCGGCUGGCCAGUGGAAUCCAUGCGUCUUGGGCCAUUUGAAGUGAGUGAAGGGCUGGGUGCGGCCCACCUGGAGCUGGACUGGAGGCUGUGUUGGGUGGGGCGGUGUGACCUGGAGGUGGGCUGCCCCCUCAGGAGACAGCUUCACCCCUGUGAGUGGACCUCAUCCUUCCUUCCUUCCACUCACAUGGACAGCACAUCUGUGUGUAGACAGGGUCACUGAGAGAGGCCAAGGAGGGUGAGGAGGAAGAUCCCGGGUGUGGGGGGAGUCCUGGGGGAGCAGACAGCAGGGACAGAAGCCUGUGGCAGGAAGGAAGGUCUUGGCCUGUGUUCUCCCAGCAAGGGUCCCCUUGGACUUGGAGUUCUAUAGGCUCCUGGCCCCCCCAUCUCUCCCGUGGUCUACAGGACCUCGACGCAGAGCUGUGGCUAGUGUCUUGGGGCAGACAUGGGGCUGAGCAGACCCCAUGGAACACUAUUAUCCGGUGUGGGGGGCCUCAUGGAGGUUCCCUGGGCACUUACUUUCACUUGCCUCCUGCCCCCAACUCCUCUCCCCUCCCAUCCUCACCCCCAGAGUGGUUUUUGGGAGCCCGGCAGCUAUCUGGACCCGUGUGCACCCCUGGACGCCUCCCUCCCUCGCAGAGGGUCCUGGUUCAUCUCGUCUGUUGCCUCUUAGAACAGUGGCCUCUACCUCGCCAGGUCCUUCAGAAGCGCCCCCCUCCCUGCCCCGCCACUGUUUUCCCAACAGCACCCGCCGUGGUCUGAGGACACUUUCUUCUGCUCCUGUUUAUUGUUUAUCUCCCCCAAGCACAAGCAGUCGAGUUAAGACAGGAGCCUCGUUCAAAGUUCCGCCCGGGGCCAGGCACAGCGCAGGCUCUCAGAGGAGGGCCCAGGAGUCCACAGGCUGCGGCGGCGCGAGACAAAAGUCGGAAGACAGGACCCCGCUGAGGAGUGAGGAGACAGCGGCCAACCCUCCGCCAGACCCUUCCGCCUGGUGCCUUUACUGGGCUCUGAGGAGGAAUUUGGUGGUUCAGUCGGCCCAUCCGUGGACACCAUAAAAACAAAGAGAAAACAGACACACACAGAUGCACACAUAGAUACACACAGAUACACACAGACACGGAUAUAUAGACACACACAGAUACACACACGUGGACACAGACACACACAUAGACACAGAUAUAUAGACACACACAGAUACACACACGUGGACACAAACACACACAGACAUACCCAUAGUUACGGAUAUAUGCAUGGAUACACAAUACACAGACACACAGAUGAUACAUGCAUAGACAGAUAUAUGGACACACACACACGGACACACAGAUACACACAUAGACACAUAGACAGACACAGAUACAGACACAGGCACAUGUAGACACACAUGGACAUACAAUACUCAGAUGAACACAGAGAUAAUAUACACAUAGACACAGAUCUAUAGAUACACAAAGACAUACACACAGAUAUACAUAGAUGCACACAUAGACACAGAUACACAUGUCAUCACACAUGGACACACACAGACACACACCAAUACACACAUAGACAUACGAAGACACAGGUACACAGACACGUAUACACACAGACACGCAUAUAUACAUACAGACGCAGAUAUACACACAGACACAGACAUACACACACACACAGACACAGAUAUACACAGAUACAUGGACAGAUACACAUUCACAUACACACAUAGAUACACAGAAACACACAGACACACAGACACAUAGAGACACACACACAGCCACACAGGCCCUGAGCCUCCCUGGGCCCUCCCUUGUGCAGAGGCGGAGGGGCUGGCUGUCGGGGAGGGCACCUGGAGAGGACACACAGCCCCAUCAGAGACCAGGGAGUGGCUCUGGGAGCUCUUUUCGUCCAAAGGGGCUGGAGCUCCAGUUAGCCAAGGAGUAAUUUCAGAAGGAGACAUUUUGUAAAAUUAAAAGAGGCAUGAGCUCCUCCUUCCUGGCAACCUGGGGGAUCACAAAGACAGACGGCACCUCCCCAGGCACCUGCGCCUGUGUCCGACGGCAAAGCCAUUGUCAAGCGAACCUGAUGCUGUCACUGGUCACCCGGAGCCCAUCAGCAUGUUGACCCGGGGCCCAUCAGCAUGUUGAAGGCACUUUCUUGCUGUUACAGGGGAGGAACUGCUAAAGAGGCCACCAGACACAGAACACAGUGAUAGUUUUAGGUGUAAAAUUAUUGCACACAGAUAAAUUCUGGAAACAGCUGCCUAGAAAGUUCUUUAUAUUGGAAAGUGUGCUUUGAGGUCAUUAUGCCGGAUUUUAUGGCCAUUUCUUGGCUGAGCCCCGGGAUGGCUUAUGUCUUUGCAGAAAGGCAUCAUCACAUUUUAUGAAUGACAGAUGGCUUUUACCACACCUUUGCAUGAUCGCUUAUGGUAAUAGGACUGCGGUGCCCUGAGACGUGGGGAUCUGCGUGAGUGCCCCCGGCAAAGUCUGCUCUUCCGGCCUCGAAUCUGGAUCCCAGUGGAGCAGUCACCACCGCACCCUCCCCGUAGCUCCAUCCCCACGCGUCCAGGAUAGCGUGGCCGCUGGUCAGCUGCCGACAGCACACAUAAGAAGUCAUGGAUGGGUCCGAGCGGCUUCCAGGACUCAGCACCCAAAGCAGCCCCGUCCUGACGGUAACAAGCCUGCCCCAUGGGGCGAGGCCCUCUCCCCUCUUCCUCAGAUUCACCCAACCCACUUCUGUCUGUCAAGAGCAGGCUUGAGGAACAGUCAAGCUUGAGUUCUCUUGGCCUUUCCUGGACAUCUGUCCUGAGGCUGCUCUCAUUUAAGCCUCACGGAGGAAACCCAAGUUUCUGCAGCAGGAGAGGGGCGUGACCCCAGGGACAGCCGGAGAAGACGGUGUAGAACCAGCUGUCACGGAGCCUGAUGUCCGGCCUGGAGCAUCAGCCCAUCACCUUCAGAGUGGACCCGAGGGCCUCACCUGCCACCUGGGGGACAGGUGAGAGGCGGCCAAGGACCCCAGACGAUGAGGGGCAGAGUGUCUGCACUUGUCACCAAAGGCUUCCAGGGAAAAGCGGGGAUGUGUGGACAGGAAGGGGCCGGCGGGUGGGAUCAGGGCACUGGGCGAGCCAGCUUCCAGUUAUGGGGGCUGCGGGCAGGGGAAACUCGAGCCCCUUGCGGCUCCAGCCUUGCCAGGGAGCCCGAGAGCUGGGCUGGCACGCCGCUCUGUGAAGGGCUGGACGGUGUGCUUCAGGCCUCGAGGUCACUCUGCCUCUGGUGCAAACGCUCACCUCUGCCGCUGUGGCCCAGAGCAGCCUUCGACCCACGUGAUGAGUGUGUGUGGCUGUGUCCCCACAUCUCCUUGUUUAUGGAUGCUAAAAUUUGAAUUUCCUAUAAGUUUCACAUGUCACAAAAUAGUCUCUUGAUUUUCCAACUAUUUAAAGAUAUAAACAUCAUUUUUAGCCCUCUGUUGGACAAAAACAGAGGCUGACUUGGGCCCUAGAGCUGUAACUUCUACCUCUGCCUUAGAUGACUCUUUUUAAAGCAUUCUAGCUGGGCCUGGUGGUUCCCACCUGUGGUCCCAGCUACUCAGGAGGCUGAGGCACGAGGACCUCUGGGUCUGAGAGUUCGAGGCUGUAGUCAGCCGUGACUGCACCCAGCCUGGGUGACAGAGCGAGACCCUCUCUCAGUAACUAAAUAAAUAAAAGACAAAAAGAGGUAAUUUUGUCUGGAUAUUGUAAAUAUAGGCUAUUUCAUGAAGUUUCAAUUUAUUCACA
rnacentral:lncRNA from 1 species